ensembl:lncRNA
GAGGAAGAGAGGGAUGACAUGGAGGAAGAGAGGGAUGACAUGGAGGAAGAGAGGGAUGACAUGGAGGAAGAGAGGGAUGACAUGGAGGAAGAGAGGGAUGGAUGGACAGUGAUGGGGGGGGGUAAGGGUGGCCGUCUGUGUGUUGACUGAAAUGCAUCGAACAUAUUGAACCGGCAAGAGAGACCAGUUGCCAGGACAACCAGAGACAUUCACAACAGAAGAGAUGUGUUUUACCAUACAGGCGAUAUCAUCACCACGUCUUCAUUAACACCUCAACAAUACAGUAAUGUGGUUCCAUUAGAGACCGAGAGCAACCCACAACAGUCAACCCACAACAGUCAACCCACAACAGUCAACCCACAGCAGUCAACCCACAGCAGUCAACCCACAACAGUCAGUCAGAGAGCAACCCACAGUCAACCCACAGCAGUCAACCCACAGCAGUCAACCCACAGCAGUCAACCCACAACAGUCAACCCACAACAGUCAACCCACAACAGUCAACCCACAACAGUCAACCCACAACAAAGCCACAACAGUCAACCCACAACAGUCAGUCAGAGAGCAGUCACCUCACUAUUAAAACCAGUGAUACACCAUGAAUAUGAUGAUGGACAACAGGAGAAGAAGACAGUUGACCUGGGGGACACAUGGACAACAGGAGAAGAAGACAGUUGACCUGGGGGACACAUGGACAACAGGAGAAGAGGACAGUUGACCUGGGGGACACAUGGACAACAGGAGAAGAGGACAGUUGACCUGGGGGACACAUGGACAACAGGAGAAGAGGACAGUUGACCUGGGGGACACAUGGACAACAGGAGAAGAGGACAGUUGACCUGGGGGACACAUGGACAACAGGAGAAGAGGACAGUUGACCUGGGGGACACAUGGACAACAGGCUGAACCAGAAACUCUAUUUGUGAUGCUGAUAGAAAUCCCGAUAUGGAAAGAAGACACAUGGAUCUGUAUGUGAUGAUAUGGUUAAACCAGACCUCUCUCUUCCUGGUGUGGGUUACCUAGUGACAGCAGGCUGUAGGGCGUUCUAAACCAGACCUCUCUCUUCCUGGUGUGUGUUACCUAGUGACAGCAGGCUGUAGGGUGUUCUAAACCAGACCUCUCUCUUCCUGGUGUGGGUUACCUAGUGACAGCAGGCUGUAGGGUGUUCUAAACCAGACCUCUCUCUUCCUGGUGUGGGUUACCUAGUGACAGCAGGCUGUAGGGCGUUCUAAACCAG